AAUCCCUCUUCCCUCUGCCCAGCCAGACUGGGACUGGGCAAUGCCCUCUUCCUCCUGUAGGUUUGGGCCAUGCCCCUUCCUCUGCACAAAUGGAGCUGGCCAGGCUGCCCCUCCACCCUCUUCCUUGCGGCCGUAUGGGGUCCAGCUGCACCCACUCUGGGCACUGGAUCGGGUGCACCGGGCAGCUCUGCCCUGCGGAGGAACCAGACACUGCCUGGGCAGCCCAUCGGCCAAAAAGGUAGAGCGCCGCUGCUCACAACGACCGCCGGCUCUGUCUGCUCGCGCUCCAGCACCGCAGUUUCACUCUCAAGACCAUCGAUGGCCGGGAAAGACACCCCAGGAGACUGAAGAACGGUGUCCCGCAAGGCUCGAUACUUUCUCCAUUGCUUUUCAACUUGUCCCUUGUCGACCUGCCUGACACCCAGGCCGAGAAGUAUGGCUAUGCUGACAGCCUGGCUCUGACCAAAUCAAGCAAGCAAUGGGAAGCCACUGAAUCCACUUGGGUUUUGUCCCAGGCUGGGUAGGGAGCGAGCCUGUCAGGGCUCGAGGCCACAGAGCUGCCACUGCAGCCCCCCCCACCCCCUCCGUUUCUCUUGCGGGUAGCCCGGCGCCAUUUUGUGCUUUCCUCCCUGCUAAAAUGGCUGUCAGGGCUUCCUCAUCUGUUAGCGUCGGUCUGUCCCACCUCCGUGUCACUCACAGCAGACGCGAGUCAUUGCGACUCCUACAGCCCCUCCCCUCCCUCGCGGGAUGCGUCCGGGUCCCAAGGGACCACCUGCCCCCAACUGUUCCCUUCCUCCACAACCUGCGCCAUAAAAGGAGCCGCCCCCUCACUCCUUAACCACCCUCGGCCAUCGCCACGGCAGGAACAGUCUUGCCCCGCAAAGCCCUUCCAACCACCCGUCACCGGGACAGGAACUGCCGCGCGUUUCUCAACACUAUGACAGGAAAUGAGCCUCUCCUCUCUCUAACCAUUGUGACAGGAAAUGUCUUCCUGGGGCCCCCUAACAAGACACACUUCCCCCACCACCCUGCUGCCAACACUGUGAGAAGAUUUCCCGCGUCCCUAACUCCCAGAUACAGACAAUGAGGGUAGGAAGGGACCUCAGGAGGUCACAUCUAGUCCAGCCCCCUGGUCCAAGAAGGACCACCCCAACGACACCAUCCCAGCCAAGGCUUUGUCUAGCUGGGUCUUAAAAGACCUCUGAGGAUGGAGAGUCCCCCACCUCUCUGGGGAGCCUGUUCCAGGGCUUCACCACCCUCCUCACGAGAAAGUUUCCCCUGAUCUCUAACCUCAGAUUCCCUUGCUGCACCUUGAGCCCAUUGCGCCUCCUUGUGCCCAGCCCAAUGCCCCCCAGAAAGCUGGCUGCACAUCCUGUCCCUGUUAAACCCCCACCCAGAGUCAGCCAUAGCUCCAUCCUCUAUUUUUUCCACUCCGAUUCCCCGCAGAGCCAGCUGUAAUUCCUGUUCUCCUUAUACACAGUGUAACAACCUCAGAGGCAGCUGCAGCUCCUGUUCCUGUUAUAUCCAGUCUGACCUCUCCCCCCCAAGAAUCAGCAGCAGCUCCUCUCCCCAUUACAUACAGCCCAACUUGCCCUUCCAGAAGCAGCUGCAGCUCCUAUCCCUGUUAUACCCAUCUUUGCCCUGCCCGGGGCCAGCCACAGCUCCUACCCUAUUAUACCCAGCCUGAUCUCCCCCUCAGAAAACCCACCCAAUAGAAACACCCCUAGUCCUUCUCUCAGGACCCUACUAACCAUCUUCCACCCCUUUCAGGAAACACACACCACCUGCUUCUCACUGAGUCUCUAAGUCCCAGCUGCCUGGUCCCCUAUACUUUCAUCAACAAGCCUGUUGGGUGUGUUCCCCUCCCCCUUCCUGACCACAUCCUCCCAUGUUUCUGGAACUAAUGAUGUGUAAGAUCAUUCGUUGGGCGUGUGACAACGAACUUGAUGACAAAGUUGUACAGCAUCAGGACACUGACGAGGUGAAAGCGCUCGCUCCUUAGUGGGACACUGCUGACAGGUCUCUGUGGGGCCAGGUUCAACUACAAAACCCUGUGCAGGGAAAACGAAGGGUGAAAUGGGGCAUACACAAGCGGCCCCCAGCCUGAGAUCUUCCCAGGAAGCCAUGCCAACGCCGGAAGAAAUGUCACGGACAAUGCAUGCCCAUCUCCGGAGACAGCCUCAAGGGGACAGCCACGAUGUCCAGCCCUUGAGCGUCGCCCAUCUCCUGCACACCCGGAACCGCCUUCAGCCUCUCGACUCCAAGACUCCCCACCUCCGCUCCUGCUUCAACCGGGCCAUGAUGGAACUCGGUAGCGAGCCUGUGUGCGUACAGGACAAUGCUUUUCUGGUGCUGCGGUGUGACGGCAAGGAGCUCCACUUCCUCUCUGGCAAUGGUGAAAAUCAGAUCACUGUGUGGCACGAUGGCCAAGGUGCCUGCUGUGAUGUCAAGGUCAAAGGGUGGUGGGCCUCCAUUGCCAGGUACCUCACCCGGCCCCAUGCCCACAAGGCAUCCCCACGCAGCCAAUUGGUGGCUGCUUCCUAGGCCAACCUCAGUGAAAUACCAGUCAAUGGACACCACAUCAGAACUUCACCCUUUCAUCAACUCAUUUGCAGUAACUUUAACCCUGCAAGAAACAGUGUUAGAGAUGACAUAGUUUGCAUACAUUUGUAGUCACUAUAGAAGUCUGAAGUCAAUUAUUCACAUCCCAUGCUCCCCCUUUUUGAGAACUGGCAGUCAAAAAUUGGUGUGUCCAUGUCCUAUAUGGAAGCCUAUUCCAAACAGAUUAAAGGGAAAUCUUUUUUGUAUCACUGAACCUUCCUAAAAACAAGGGGCAUAGCCUUAUUUGGGGGGGGAGGGGGAGUAUGCUAGUAAAUAUGGUAGCUUCAUUGUAACCACUGUUAUGACUUGCUAUGUGUGGAGUCAAUGCUUUCAUUUAUGUGCUAGGAUACACCUGCCUAGCAAUGGCUUUGAGGGGUAUAUGUGCAGCUGGGAAGAUACCCAGGUUUAGGUCAGUGAUGCUCAACCUUUUGGCUCUGCUGGGCAGAGGAACAGUGCAAGGUCUCUAUGGGGUCUUGGGUCAUGUCUGUGUCCCCUGUGUGCCAGAAUUGGGUCCCAGGAGACAGGAGCCAUCCUCUCCUGACCCCCAUGUGCUGGAAUUGGCCCCUGGAGCCACCCCCCAUGCAUUAGGGUUUAAUUUUAGGGUCCUGACACCACCCCAUCAUGCCCCCAUGCUUCAGGGGUCUUAAACACCACCUCCUACCCUCCAUGCACGAGGUUGGGGUCCUAGGGGUCCAGUGCCCUCACCCUAGGUUCCAGCCCUCACCCUAGGAUUGGGGGCUGGAUCUAGUGUACAGGGCCCAGGGCUCUGCAUGGGUCCAGAGAUUUGGCAGCGAGGGGGAGGGGUGAUGAAACAGCUCCCCCACUACCAAAUUAUUAUAAGUUUGGGGAGCCAAAUAGGCCAGAUGACAAGGCACCAUGAGCUCGUCCUGAGCAGCGGGCUGGGGAUUGAAUAUACCCACUUUAGGUUGGCACACUUGUACCUGAUUCAACAUAGUCUUAUUGACGCCCGAUGUGCAUAUUUUUCCCCAAAUCACAGUCCUCCAGCACUGGGACACUUGCUUUGAACAGGCACACUGCUUUCUUUUUCCUUGAAAUAGAAGCAUGAAGACACUGUGCUCUGUCCAUGCUUCUUUCUGGGACAGUAAGCGGGAAGGAGCAGAGUCGAGGAGAAACUCUUACCACCACUCUCAAAUUGGCAGCAGCUUUUUGCUGCAGAUUAACUCUAGAUGCUCCUGAGAUGGGUGGGGAAACAGUAGAUAUGCAUUUCAUGAGUUGUUUACGGGCGGAGUGUUUACUGUCUCAAAGGUACAGUUGAGACACAAUUUAGUUUGGUUCUCAGCUACCUGAACACUCAGAGAAGCGCUGGGGUUACAAGGAUGCUCCAUCCAGCAGAGGAAGGGAGAACAGGAAACUGGCUAAAGGUCAAUGCCAGCCAAGCUCUUCCAAUGCUGAUGGACCUCAGGAAGUAGUGAGUUCUCUAAGGCAUCUGAAGUGUCAUUGGCUGAUGUUGAAGGCAAUGGAGAUGUUCAGGAGAUGGUCUUGAGAAGGCAUGGGAGGGUGGGCCUUGUCAGUAAUUGACUCAGUUCUGGCGGGAAGAAUGUAACUGAACCUCUUGCCAGUUGGGAACAAUUCACAAAAUCAUGUCUGCCAAAAGGAUUUUCAGCCAUGUGUCUUGAACCACUAACAUUACCUUGUGAUUUCACUUUUGUUUAUUUUACGUGAGAAACCUGACAAUGAUUUCAUCAGUCAAAGUUGCAGAGGGUGCUUUUGGCCAUCCUUAAAUAAGGUCCGGGAUUCAUCAGCCAGACACAGUAGUCAUUUUCAAAAAUAUAUUUAUCUAUCUAUUUACAUUUUUUAAAUGUUUGGAUCAUCAAAACUAGCAAGAGGAGCAAAAGAGCCAUAAGAAAUAGUGCCUUCUGUGUGCAUCUACAUGUGCAACUGAUGCGAUGCAAUAAACUUUGGAGCAAUAUGAA